UGAUUUCGAGUCGUGCCAUGUGAUACAG
rnacentral:sRNA from 1 species